rnacentral:antisense_RNA from 1 species
GGGAUGGCGGUGGGAGUCUGCUCCAUGCUUUGUGCAGCUCUCAGGUGGAGUCUCUGUCCCUCCAGGACUGCAGCCUGGGAAGGUUGGAGCUCAAAUGAGCACCUGUUGAGUUGCCGUGAGCUGCUUGGAUGUUGCCUCUGCCACCUGCCAGCCUCCCUGAUGGACAGAGUCCCCUCUCGACUUGGACAGGAACCAGGUGACCAAUGGUCGGCGGCUCCAUAGUCCCACCCCACAGCUGACUUCUGCACAGUGGCAUCUCCAGGACACCUGCUGCCUCCAUCUCUUGGCAGAGCCCACAGCCCGGGGAGCAGGAGUGGGGACGGGGGUAAAGACGGUUCCUAUUUCCACAACAGAGUCUCCACACUGCCUCCCACUUUCAAACCAGAAACUCUCGAGUAGACAAAGAUGCCUUGUGAUCCAA